rnacentral:rRNA from 1 species
CAGUAGCCGCGGUAAUACGGAGGGUGCAAGCGUUAAUCGGAAUUACUGGGCGUAAAGCGUGCGUAGGCGGUUCGUUAAGUCUGUUGUGAAAGCCCCGGGCUCAACCUGGGAAUGGCAAUGGAUACCGGCGAGCUAGAGUGUGUCAGAGGAUGGUGGAAUUCCCGGUGUAGCGGUGAAAUGCGUAGAGAUCGGGAGGAACAUCAGUGGCGAAGGCGGCCAUCUGGGACAACACUGACGCUGAGGCACGAAAGCGUGGGGAGCAAACAGGAUUAGAGACCCGUGUAGUCCCUGUCUCUUAUAC